UACGUAGGGCGCAAGCGUUGUCCGGAAUUAUUGGGCGUAAAGAGCUCGUAGGCGGUUUGUCGCGUCUGCUGUGAAAACCUGAGGCUCAACCUCGGGCUUGCAGUGGGUACGGGCAGACUAGAGUGCGGUAGGGGAGACUGGAAUUCCUGGUGUAGCGGUGAAAUGCGCAGAUAUCAGGAGGAACACCGGUGGCGAAGGCGGUUCUCUGGGCAUUAACCUGA
rnacentral:rRNA from 1 species